UACGAAGGGGGCUAGCGUUGCUCGGAAUCACUGGGCGUAAAGCGCACGUAGGCGGCUUUUUAAGUCAGAGGUGAAAUCCUGGAGCUCAACUCCAGAACUGCCUUUGAUACUGAGAGGCUUGAGUCCGGGAGAGGUGAGUGGAACUGCGAGUGUAGAGGUGAAAUUCGUAGAUAUUCGCAAGAACACCAGUGGCGAAGGCGGCUCACUGGCCCGGUACUGACGCUGAGGCGCGAAAGCGUGGGGAGCAAACAGGG
rnacentral:rRNA from 1 species